rnacentral:rRNA from 1 species
UACAGAGGUCUCAAGCGUUGAUCGGAUUCAUUGGGCGUAAAGGGUGUGUAGGUGGCGCCGUAAGUCGGGUGUGAAAUUUCGGAGCUUAACUCCGAAACUGCAUUCGAUACUGCGGUGCUUGAGGACUGGAGAGGAGACUGGAAUUCAUGGUGUAGCAGUGAAAUGCGUAGAGAUCAUGAGGAAGACCAGUGGCGAAGGCGGGUCUCUGGACAGUUCCUGACACUGAGACACGAAGGCCAGGGGAGCAAACGGG